ACAGAUACCAUCAAGUCUCCCACUCAAUCCCAUAAGAACAAUACACUGAUCACCACAACAGAAGGGGCCUUUAAUAAGACCAGUCCCCCGGAACAAGGAAGCCAGCUGUGUUCUGGUGCACAGACGUGCCUGAGAAGGACUCUGUGGGUGCUACGUCACGCCGGGCUUGUUUUGGUGUUCCUAAUAUGCACCGCCGUCGCCUUUUGGAAGAUCUGGCAAAACCGCAGAGCAAUGCAAUCAAGAGAGAAUAGAAGACACAGGACGUUACGCAACCAAAUGAUGACG